rnacentral:rRNA from 1 species
GACGAACGCUGGCGGCGUGCUUAACACAUGCAAGUCGAACGGAAAGGCCCUGCUUUUGUGGGGUGCUCGAGUGGCGAACGGGUGAGUAACACGUGAGUAACCUGCCCUUGACUUUGGGAUAACUUCAGGAAACUGGGGCUAAUACCGGAUAGGAGCUCCUGCUGCAUGGUGGGGGUUGGAAAGUUUCGGCGGUCGGGGAUGGACUCGCGGCUUAUCAGCUUGUUGGUGGGGUAGUGGCUUACCAAGGCUUUGACGGGUAGCCGGCCUGAGAGGGUGACCUGCCACAUGGGGACUGAGAUACGGCCCAGACUCCUACGGGAGGCAGCAGUGGGGAAUAUUGCCCAAUGGUCGGAAGCCUGAUGCAGCAACGCUGCGUGCGGGAUGACGGCUUUCGGGGUGUAAACCGCUGUCGCCUGUGACGAAGCGUUAGUGACGGUAAUGAGUAAAGAAGCACCGGCUAACUACGUG